rnacentral:rRNA from 1 species
UCUGUAGGUGGUUUACUAAGUCAACUGUUAAAUCUUGAAGCUCAACUUCAAAAUCGCAGUCGAAACUAGUAGACUAGAGUAUAGUAGGGGUAAAGGGAAUUUCCAGUGGAGCGGUGAAAUGCGUAGAGAUUGGAAAGAACACCGAUGGCGAAGGCACUUUACUGGGCUAUUACUGACACUCAGAGACGAAAGCUAGGGUAGCAAAUG